rnacentral:lncRNA from 1 species
AGGCCACGGUUUUUUAAUUUGUUGGUUUACGGAUUUUUCUCAUAAAAAAGUCGGGUCGGUCGGUCGGAAAAAAAAAGAAAAAAAAAUAUCUUUUCAAACAGAAAAAUAUCAAAAUAAAUAUAUAUUUCACCUUACUUAACAAAAUGUUUGUCUUAUUUGCUGUUUUGUAACCAUUUCUUAACAUUUCGUUCGAUGAAAUAUUAUUGAUCAGUGAUCAUGAACAUCGCAGGACAUCGUUUAAUAACUUCCUGUAAAAAGAGGGGUUGCACGGACAAAGACGAAAUUAAAUCGUCAUUUCACAAACAAGAAAAAACAGAUUCCGUAGCUCUCAAUCAAUUCCAGAAAACUUGGUAAAUAAUGAUCUUCAGUUACAAAAACUGAUAAAGAAAAAAAAAAUAAGUUUCAACACACGUGUCGAAAAACGUAAUAGACUCGUCCACUG